AGGGUUUGAUCAUGGCUCAGAACGUACGCUGGCGGCACGCCUAAUACAUGCAAGUCGAACGAAGUAGCAAUACUUAGUGGCAGACGGGUGAGUAAUAUGUAGGUAUCUUCCCAUUGGUGAGGAAUAACACGAGGAAACUUGUGCUAAUACCUCAUAAGUCUUUACGGAGAAAGCUUUAUGCGCCGAUGGAUGAGCCUGCACUUGAUUAGUUUGUUGGUAGGGUAAUGGCCUACCAAGACAAUGAUCAAUAGCUGAUUUGAGAGGAUGAUCAGCCACAUUGGGACUGAGACACGGCCCAAACUCCUACGGGAGGCAGCAGUAGGGAAUCUUGCACAAUGGGGGAAACCCUGAUGCAGCGAUGCCGCGUGAGUGAAGAAGGCCCUUGGGUUGUAAAGCUCUUUCGUCGGGGAAGAAAAUGACUGUACCCGAAUAAGAAGGUCCGGCUAACUUCGUGCCAGCAGCCGCGGUAAUACGAAGGGACCUAGCGUAGUUCGGAAUUACUGGGCUUAAAGAGUUCGUAGGUGGUUAAAAAAGUUGGUGGUGAAAUCCCAGAGCUUAACUCUGGAACUGCCAUCAAAACUUUUUAGCUAGAGUAUGAUAGAGGAAAGCAGAAUUUCUAGUGUAGAGGUGAAAUUCGUAGAUAUUAGAAAGAAUACCGAUUGCGAAGGCAGCUUUCUGGAUCAUUACUGACACUGAGGAACGAAAGCAUGGGUAGCGAAGAGGAUUAGAUACCCUCGUAGUCCAUGCCGUAAACGAUGUGUGUUAGACGUUGGAAAUUUAUUUUCAGUGUCGCAGCGAAAGCGAUAAACACACCGCCUGGGGAGUACGACCGCAAGGUUAAAACUCAAAUGAAUUGACGGGGACCCGCACAAGUAGUGGAGCAUGUGGUUUAAUUCGAAGAUACGCGCAGAACCUUACCAACACUUGACAUGUUCGUCGCGACUUUAAGAGAUUAAAGUUUUCGGUUCGGCCGGACGAAACACAGGUGCUGCAUGGCUGUCGUCAGCUCGUGUCGUGAGAUGUUGGGUUAAGUCCCGCAACGAGCGCAACCCUCACUUUUAGUUGCCAUCAUUAAGUUGGGCACUCUGAAAGAACUGCCAGUGAUAAGCUGGAGGAAGGUGGGGAUGACGUCAAGUCCUCAUGGCCCUUACGUGUUGGGCUACACACGUGCUACAAUGGUAUCUACAACAGGAAGCAAGACUGCGAAGUUAAGCAAAUCCUUAAAAGAUACCUCAGUUCGGAUUGCACUCUGCAACUCGAGUGCAUGAAGCUGGAAUUACUAGUAAUCGUGGAUCAGCGUGCCACGGUGAAUGCGUUCCCGGGUCUUGUACACACCGCCCGUCACACCAUGGGAGU
rnacentral:rRNA from 1 species